CAUUUAGCAUUCUGAGCGUACGUCAAAAUGUAGUCGUAAGUCGCGAGUACCCGGAUGUUACACAGAUCACGAUAAGCACACUCAAUCAUCGCCAUCUUGGCUCCGUAGGCGGGAACAGGAACAAGGAACACGACCGACUCGAGUAGUUGUAAAGAAGACGCAGUUCGACAUUGUGCCUGUGAAUAUUGUCAUUCAUCCAGUUUAUUGGUAUUCAAUCGCUCGUAACCGGACUGUUCGGGCUGUUUUAGAAGACAUUUCGCAGAGUUAAACAUUGUGAACGUCAUUUCCGGCAGGCAGGAAGAGGGUUCACUCUUUUCAGCCCCUGUUUCAUAAAUCAAAGUCUGAAACAAAGUGAGCCCUCUCGUGAGGAGCGAUGCAACGUAACGUAGGAGAAGUCAGGAAGGAAAAAGCAAAAUCCCCACAGCCCCAGUGAGGGCAUAUUGCAGCUUCAAACCAGAUGAGCAAGGUGUUCGAUAGAGAGCCUUUUGACAUACUGUAUAUGCAUAAGGUACACCAGCUGCACAGUGGCUCAGAGGAAAGCGUUCCAGAGGGUCAUCAACACACCAGAAGAUCACUGACUGCCCUCUCCUCAGCUCGGAAGAACUACACAGUUCCCGCUGUCUCAAAAGAGCCCAGAACAUUAUCAAGGACACAUCACACCCAGCUUCUACCCCACAGCAAUAACGAAACUUAAUAAUAGCCAAAAUAGUUCUCAUGCUACAGGUAACCCAAUAAAUAUUUAUUUAUGUUUAUGUCUAUUUAGGCUUUUUAUGUGUUUUUAGGAUGAAUGUGAGUGUGAAUGGUUGUUUGUCUAUAUGUGCCCUGUGAUUGGCUGGCAACCAGUCCAGGGUGUACCCCACCUCUCGCCCGAAGACAGCUGGGAUAGGCUCCAGCACCCCCCGCGACCCUCGUGAGGAAAAAGUGGUAGAAAAUGAAUGAAUGAAUGAAUGAAUAAUGUGUUUUUAGGCUCUUUUAUAGCUUUUAUAUAUGGUCUUCAAUGAUGCACUGACUGGUAUGCACUUUCAUUUUGUUGUAUCAUAACAAUGACAAUAAAGUUAUUCUAUUCUAUUCUAAAUUAUUAAUGAAAUAAUGUGUAAAUAUUACAAUAUAAAGUCAACAAAUAAUUGAAACCAAAUGGAUAAAAAAAUCCACACAAAUGACUGAGGUCAUGUUGUAUCAAUGAUAGCGGCACUCCGGGGCAUCAUCUUCACCACGAGGAUGGUUCCUGGAGUUCACAUUCCAGCCGGCUUAA